rnacentral:rRNA from 1 species
GUCACGCCCGAAGUCAUUACCCCAACCUUUUGGAGGGGGAUGCCUAAGGUAGGACUGAUGACUGGGGUGAAGUCGUAACAAGGUAGCCGUACCGGAAGGUGUGGCUGGAUCACCUCCUUUU